rnacentral:rRNA from 1 species
GACGAACCCGUACAAACGUUAUUCGGAAUUACUGGGCUUAAAGGGUGCGUAGGCGGCGCGGUAAGUUGGGUGUGAAAUCCCUCGGCUCAACCGAGGAAUUGCGCUCGAUACUGCCGUGCUUGAGGGAGACAGAGGUGAGCGGAACUUAGGGUGGAGCGGUGAAAUGCGUUGAUAUCCUAAGGAACACCAGUGGCGAAAGCGGCUCACUGGGUCUCUUCUGACGCUGAGGCACGAAAGCUAGGGGAGCGAACGGGAUUAGAACUCG